rnacentral:rRNA from 1 species
UGGGGAAUAUUGGACAAUGGGCGAAAGCCUGAUCCAGCCAUACCGCGUGUGUGAAGAAGGUCUUCGGAUUGUAAAGCACUUUAAGUUGGGAGGAAGGGCAGUAAGCGAAUACCUUGCUGUUUUGACGUUACCGACAGAAUAAGCACCGGCUAACUCUGUGCCAGCAGCCGCGGUAAUACAGAGGGUGCAAGCGUUAAUCGGAAUUACUGGGCGUAAAGCGCGCGUAGGUGGUUCGUUAAGUUGAAUGUGAAAGCCCCGGGCUCAACCUGGGAACUGCAUCCAAAACUGGCGAGCUGGAGUAGGGCAGAGGGGGGUGGAAUUUCCUGUGUAGCGGUGAAAUGCGUAGAUAUAGGAAGGAACACCAGUGGCGAAGGCGACCACCUGGGCUCAUACUGACACUGAGGUGCGAAAGCGUGGGGAGCAAACAGG